UACGAAGGGGGCUAGCGUUGUUCGGAAUUACUGGGCGUAAAGCGUUUGUAGGCGGUUAUACAAGUCAGUGGUGAAAGCCCAGGGCUUAACCCUAGAAUUGCCAUUGAAACUGUAUAGCUAGAGAGUGUUAGAGGUUAGUGGAAUUCCUAGUGUAGGAGUGAAAUCCGUAGAGAUUAGGAGGAAUAUCGAUGGCGAAGGCAGCUAACUGGGACAUUUCUGACGCUGAGAAACGAAAGCGUGGGUAGCAAACAGG
rnacentral:rRNA from 1 species